UUUCUAUGAGGAAUCAAACUAGCUCACUGUGACUUACAGAGUAAGAACCUGAAUAUCUGAGAAAC